rnacentral:rRNA from 1 species
UCGAAUUUGGAUAUGGGGAAGCAUAAUUAUUGUGACGGUUUUAAACCUAUACCUGACAUUCGCAUAGGUUUAUCUUAUCUAAUACCGUCCAUUAGCUACGACAAGAGGCAA